UUUCCGUAGGUGAACCUGCGGAAGGAUCAUUACCGAGUAAGGGUCUCUCAUGCCCUACCUCCCACCCUGUGUUUUUUUGACCUUGUUGUUUUGGCGCGCACCACCCGAUGAGUCGCCGCCGGACGCUCACCGCUUUGGGCCCGUGCCCGUCAGUAGCCCCCUUAAAUUCUUAAUAACCCAGUCGUCUUGGUUAAUGGAUCUCAUGAAAAAAAACUUUCAACAACGGAUCUCUUGGUUCUG
rnacentral:misc_RNA from 1 species